rnacentral:rRNA from 1 species
CCUACGGGUGGCAGCAGUGAGGAAUAUUGGGCAAUGGACGCAAGUCUGAACGAGCAAUGCCGCGUGCAGGAAGAAGGCUCUAGGAUCGGUAAACUGCGUUUUUACGAGGGUAAACGCAGAUACGUGUAUCUGUCUGAAUGUAUCGUACGUAUAAGGCACGGCUAACUCCGUGCCAGCAGCCGCGGUAAUACGGAGGAGUCAAGCGUUAUCCGGAUUUAUUGGGUGUAAAGGGUGCGUAGGCGGUCGGAUAAGUUAGAGGUGAAAUCCCGAGGCUCAACUUCGGAAUUGCCUCUGAUACUGUUCGGCUAGAGAGUAGUUGCGGUAGGCGGAAUGUAUGGUGUAGCGGUGAAAUGCUUAGAGAUCAUACAGAACACCGAUUGCGAAGGCAGCUUACCAAGCUACUUCUGACGUUGAGGCACGAAAGCGUGGGGAGCAAACAGGAUUAGAUACCCUAGUAGUC